GGCUUCUAGUCAGUUGGUUAGGGCGUGGUGCUACUAACGCCAAGGUCAACAGUUCGAUCCUGAUGAGGGCCA
rnacentral:tRNA from 1 species